GCCCGGAUAGCUCAGUUGGUUAGAGCAUCAGACUUUUAAUCUGAGGGUCCAGGGUCCAAGUCCCUGUUCGGGGG